UUGAGUUUAUGUGUAUGUGUGUGUAUGUGAGAAAGAGAGAGAGAGAGAGGGAGAGUCUGUCUGUGUGGGGAAUGUUUGUCCACUUACAAAACAAUCUCCCAAACCAGCCUAUCUUACUGAAAGCAGAGUUUAUCAAGAAUUUUACUGUCUCCUACAAAUCAAACAUAUCUAUGAGUAUGACCCUGCCCCCAGACUCCUCCACACACUAAUCUGGUUGACCAGUCAAGGCCAUUUGGUGCUGGCAAAGAAGUCAGAUGAGCAGCAACCUGCUCAUAUUCCUGGACUGUAAGCCUGGAGUGCUUAGCUGCAGAGACAAAGCACUCGGUUUGAUGAUUCCCCUGAGGUGAUGAAGGCAAGCCGUGCCCAAGCUUCACUGGACUCUGAGCAAGCGUCCCUUCCCCUGUGGUCUGCUGCCUUCAACCACAGGAAAUCAUCUCUUUAAAGGAUUCCAACAAUUUUCUCCAAAUGCUGUCCUGAGAAAAAUUUGGGGAGUGAGAAUUAGCCCCAGCCAUCAACUUAACACAAACCUAGAAUCACUCUCAAGGAAAGAUUCGUGGAGAUCACACUGGCCCGUGGCAUGUUUGUGAGGCAUUUUCUUAAUUGCUAAUUGGUGUCAGAGGGCAUGGCUCACAGUGGGGUAGGAGGCCUGAGCUGUAUAGAAAGUUUAGUUGAACAAGAGAAUAAGGUCCCAUCCUCGGUUCCUGCCCUGACUUCCCUUGAUGGAUUCUGAUGGGGAUGUGUAAGCAAAAACAAACCCUUUCUUCCCCAGGUAACUUCUGGUUAUGGUGUUCAUCACAGCAGCAGAGAAACCAAGCCAAGCCAAGACGUGUUUGGUCUGGAGUCGGACUGAGAGCAGCAUCCCUCACACAGGCAUUGCUGGGGAAAGUUACUCAGGAAAGCAAAGCGAGAGAGAUGGACAAGGUCCUGUGAAGACUUGAGUGAAGGGCUGCACACUGCAAACAUCAAAACCUCCUCCAAAAGGCAAGAGUAGAUGCCAACACACUGCCGAAGUGGCUGAGAGGAAAGAGAGGUCUCAGAACCCAGAAAGGUGGGCUGAAGAGCCCCAACGUUCUCUCUCUCAUCCUAUGCCUGCCCACAGAGCAGUGACCACAGAACAGUGAUUCUCAAACUCCCAUCAACCCACCAUCCCUCAACUCAGCAGGGCCUCUACCGCCUUCAUUGGCUUGCCACGUGCUUCUGUGUGCCAUAUACCAGAGUUCAAGAACUACUGCCACAUGGCCACUAAAAAACAAUGAAUUUAAACAAGGAGAUACAAUGUAUCCUCUUUAAGAUACAUUGAGAAUGAAACAGAUAGUUUCUGUAUACUAUAAAUAUAGGUUUAUACUGUACACAGUGCACAAUACCCAGUCAGCACUUAAAAGAUGUGCCAUAUGUACAAGACGGGCAGUAGAAAGAAAGGGAGGAAUUGCUUCUCUGAAAAAUGAGAGAUACAUACAAGUCACUGCAUAGAUAUAAAUAAUAGCAGGGAAGAGGUCUACAGAGACCCACAAGAAACUGGUAAUUUCGCAGCUUACAAGAAAGGAAUCGCCUGAUUGAGGUCAAAGGUGGGAAAGAUACAACUGUGGUCCUUCACAUCCCCUUUGAAGUUUGAACUAUGCGAAUGCAUUAUCUAAUCUUUAUUGCUCAUGGUCUAUAGGAGUCGGGAGAGGGAUAGAAACAAAAACAAGUAGAAAGAAUGACUGGGCAUAGAUGAGCCUAGCAGGGUUAAAGAUCAGAGUUUUGGGGAUUUUGAUCAUUCCCACACACUAGAUUUAUAAUCUUCCUUCACUGUUGGCCUGGGCUCUCCCUCAACUUCUGCCAAAGGAGCCCUUUUGGUGCCUCUCUUCUUUAACCAGAUUUCUCUUUCCUUAAUGAGAACUGAUUAUAUCAUAUGCAAAUCGAUGUAAACCUAUGCAAAUCUAAGGUGUGCAUGUGUGCUGUUGAAAGUCUUUCUUUCCAUACCUGUACACAUGACACCAGCGAAGGCCCAGCACUGACCAUAUUUGACUGGCUUGUACUUGCCGUUGAACCUCUUCUGUAGGUCACACUGCUACACCAGUUCAGUGGGCUGGUGCCACCACCAUAUCUGCCCUUCCACUGGCCUUGUAUCACACUGCGGUCAUUGUUCCUGUUCACCUGAGCAGAGAGCUGUAAGGGUUCCUACAGGUACAGCCUGGACUCCGGAAGUCAAAGUAGACUUAGCAUAUUUCCUUGGUUCAGAGGAGAGAGCCCACAUCACUAACACAAGUCACACUCACAUACAGAACCUUGGAGGUUUGUGUCCUCACCAGAUCAGCUAAUCCAGGGGCUUCAUGAAAUAUGGAACCCAUGGCUUGGUUGAUGGAAAUUUUCCUGUGUCCUAAGGCCUGAAAGUUAACCCAUAACUAUCUACUUUGCUUCUGAUUGACAGGACUAUUUUAUCUGUUUUUUUAUUUGUUUUCAUCCAUACAAAUUAAUAAUAAUCAAAGGAAGCUGUGAUUAUGUUAUUGGGUAAUUAUACAAUUAAAUGCUAGUCAACGAACAGAGGAUUUCAUACUCCAAGCUCCACUCAAAACCAGACUUCCUGGUGGCUAACACAAGCAUCUGCAGGUUCAUGCUUGUACAACGCUGUCAGGGCAUCAAAAGUAAAGGGGGCAGCACAGAAGCAACCUCAGACCCAGGGGUCUCCAGUAUCUGGGUUGGAACCUCAACCUUGACCCACAGUGCUCUCUGAGAAAGUAAUGCCCACUUCACUUCUCUCAGACCUCACACACUUGCAGAACUGUAACUAAUAUAGCAGGAGAUGACAGUGGCAGGCCCCCAGCCCACUGACUGGCAGCCGGGUGUCCUCCUAGCUCUGUGACUCUUCCCUUACGGCCUGAUUCCACUAUCUCCUUUCCACCUUCAGUGCCAAAACACUAAUUGGUCCUACUUCACCCAUUCAAUACUCAUGUAUAAAGUAACUUAUGCCGGCCAUUUACCUAAAAAAAAAAAAAAAUAGAUUAAAUACCUUGGGGUUGAAGGUCUGGGAAGGAAGUUGGUUCUUACUUUAAUAUCUUUCAUAGGCUCCUAUAAGGUGCUGUGGAUAGUGGGGCUUUAAUGGUUCGGAAUGAGCUGCUCUCAAGGAGAGCAAGCUGCAGGCUGUUGGCAGCAGAGGUCCUGAACGCAGUUGCGCACGGUCCAAUGGCUCUGUGGGUAGACAGAUUACGUGUGCACUUGGGAUUACUCGUCCCAUCUGCUCUCUCCGUUUGUUACCAGUAAACAUUAUUUCCCACGCUGCUCUGUGCCAACCCAAUGAGCCUCCAGAAGAACCAGAAAUGUCUAACGUUUGGGCUCUGCCUUCCCAGCAGUCUUCAUGUAACAGAAAGACACUAACUAAAA
rnacentral:sRNA from 1 species